UACGUAGGGGGCAAGCGUUGUCCGGAAUCAUUGGGCGUAAAGAGCGUGUAGGCGGCUCGAUAAGUCUGCUGUGAAAGUCCAGGGCUCAACCCUGGAAGGCCGGUGGAAACUGUCGGGCUAGAGUCCGGAAGAGGCGAGUGGAAUUCCCGGUGUAGCGGUGAAAUGCGCAGAUAUCGGGAGGAACACCAAUUGCGAAGGCAGCUCGCUGGGACGUCACUGACGCUGAGACGCGAAAGCGUGGGGAGCAAACAGG
rnacentral:rRNA from 1 species